AAAUUGAAGAGUUUGAUCAUGGCUCAGAUUGAACGCUGGCGGCAGGCCUAACACAUGCAAGUCGAACGGUAACAGGAAGCAGCUUGCUGCUUUGCUGACGAGUGGCGGACGGGUGAGUAAUGUCUGGGAAACUGCCUGAUGGAGGGGGAUAACUACUGGAAACGGUGGCUAAUACCGCAUAACGUCGCAAGACCAAAGAGGGGGACCUUCGGGCCUCUUGCCAUCAGAUGUGCCCAGAUGGGAUUAGCUUGUUGGUGAGGUAACGGCUCACCAAGGCGACGAUCCCUAGCUGGUCUGAGAGGAUGACCAGCCACACUGGAACUGAGACACGGUCCAGACUCCUACGGGAGGCAGCAGUGGGGAAUAUUGCACAAUGGGCGCAAGCCUGAUGCAGCCAUGCCGCGUGUAUGAAGAAGGCCUUCGGGUUGUAAAGUACUUUCAGCGGGGAGGAAGGUGUUGUGGUUAAUAACCGCAGCAAUUGACGUUACCCGCAGAAGAAGCACCGGCUAACUCCGUGCCAGCAGCCGCGGUAAUACGGAGGGUGCAAGCGUUAAUCGGAAUUACUGGGCGUAAAGCGCACGCAGGCGGUCUGUCAAGUCGGAUGUGAAAUCCCCGGGCUCAACCUGGGAACUGCAUUCGAAACUGGCAGGCUUGAGUCUUGUAGAGGGGGGUAGAAUUCCAGGUGUAGCGGUGAAAUGCGUAGAGAUCUGGAGGAAUACCGGUGGCGAAGGCGGCCCCCUGGACAAAGACUGACGCUCAGGUGCGAAAGCGUGGGGAGCAAACAGGAUUAGAUACCCUGGUAGUCCACGCCGUAAACGAUGUCUACUUGGAGGUUGUGCCCUUGAGGCGUGGCUUCCGGAGCUAACGCGUUAAGUAGACCGCCUGGGGAGUACGGCCGCAAGGUUAAAACUCAAAUGAAUUGACGGGGGCCCGCACAAGCGGUGGAGCAUGUGGUUUAAUUCGAUGCAACGCGAAGAACCUUACCUGGUCUUGACAUCCACGGAACUUUCCAGAGAUGGAUUGGUGCCUUCGGGAACCGUGAGACAGGUGCUGCAUGGCUGUCGUCAGCUCGUGUUGUGAAAUGUUGGGUUAAGUCCCGCAACGAGCGCAACCCUUAUCCUUUGUUGCCAGCGGUCCGGCCGGGAACUCAAAGGAGACUGCCAGUGAUAAACUGGAGGAAGGUGGGGAUGACGUCAAGUCAUCAUGGCCCUUACGACCAGGGCUACACACGUGCUACAAUGGCGCAUACAAAGAGAAGCGACCUCGCGAGAGCAAGCGGACCUCAUAAAGUGCGUCGUAGUCCGGAUUGGAGUCUGCAACUCGACUCCAUGAAGUCGGAAUCGCUAGUAAUCGUGGAUCAGAAUGCCACGGUGAAUACGUUCCCGGGCCUUGUACACACCGCCCGUCACACCAUGGGAGUGGGUUGCAAAAGAAGUAGGUAGCUUAACCUUCGGGAGGGCGCUUACCACUUUGUGAUUCAUGACUGGGGUGAAGUCGUAACAAGGUAACCGUAGGGGAACCUGCGGUUGGAUCACCUCCUUACCUU
rnacentral:rRNA from 1 species